rnacentral:lncRNA from 1 species
CUCUCUUCUCUCGAAUGCUCUCACAACGUAACCCUAAUUCACCCUUAUUGUAAUACAUUUAUUGUCAUUCAUGGUGGUCUCUCUACACCACCAGACCUCUAAUGGCCUCUCCUAUGCUGGUAUCACAAUAUCUAUGGUCCUCGACGGACUAGGGUCAAUCCGCUUACACCCAUGGCCCCUUCUUUCCUAUUUCAGGUUGUUCCAUUUUGAUUACAAGUAAGAUCUUCCUAUUGCACUGUAGAUCUAUGGUUUUCUAAUGCUACUUCUUCAUCUCUAUAUUGUUAAUCUCAAAUCCCU